GAAGCGCCUUUUGAGAUUCUUCGGAUGAUCGAUUGGUGACUGAGUGGCGGACGGGUGAGUAACGCGUGGGUAACCUGCCCUGUACAGGGGGAUAACAGCUGGAAACGGCUGCUAAUACCGCAUAAGCGCACGAGGAGACAUCUCCUUGUGUGAAAAACUCCGGUGGUACAGGAUGGGCCCGCGUCUGAUUAGCUGGUUGGCAGGGUAACGGCCUACCAAGGCAACGAUCAGUAGCCGGUCUGAGAGGAUGAACGGCCACAUUGGAACUGAGACACGGUCCAAACUCCUACGGGAGGCAGCAGUGGGGAAUAUUGCACAAUGGGGGAAACCCUGAUGCAGCGACGCCGCGUGAGCGAAGAAGUAUUUCGGUAUGUAAAGCUCUAUCAGCAGGGAAGAUAAUGACGGUACCUGACUAAGAAGCCCCGGCUAACUACGUGCCAGCAGCCGCGGUAAUACGUAGGGGGCAAGCGUUAUCCGGAUUUACUGGGUGUAAAGGGAGCGUAGACGGCAAGGCAAGUCUGAUGUGAAAACCCAGGGCUUAACCCUGGGACUGCAUUGGAAACUGUCUGGCUCGAGUGCCGGAGAGGUAAGCGGAAUUCCUAGUGUAGCGGUGAAAUGCGUAGAUAUUAGGAAGAAC
rnacentral:rRNA from 1 species